rnacentral:lncRNA from 13 species
AAAAUUUUUUAUUUUGGAGACAGGGUCUUACUCUGUCACCCAGGCUGGGGAGCAGUGGUGCAAUCACAGUUUCGUUAUGUCAGCCAGGCUGGUCUUGAACUCCUGAACUCAAGCGAUUCCCCUGCCUUGGCCUCCCAAAGUGCUAGGAUUACAGGUCAUUCUGGAAGUGGGGGCAGGGAAAAGCUAUCUAACUGGCUAACUCACUACAUGGAGGAGGAACUCAAGAGAGAAGCCAACUCAAGGAAUUACACAUUAUUCAUAGUGCCAUUGCUGCCUUCAAAGGUGGGCAGUACAUUUUUUAAAACACAUUUUAUUUUAUUUUUAUUUUUUGGUGGCCAGGUCUUGCUCUAUUGCCAGGCUAGAGUGCAAUGGCAUGAUCUUGGCUCACUGUAACCUCUGCCUCCAGGGCUCAAGCCAUCCCCCCACCUCAGCCUCCCAAGUAGCUAGAAGAAAAGCUUGUGCCACCACGCCCGGCUAAUUUUUGUAUUUUUUUAAAAGACAGGGGCUCACUAUGUUACCCAGGCUGGUCUCAAACUCCUGAGCUCAAGCCAUCCUCCUGCCUCCGUCUCCCAAAGCGCUGGGAUUACAGGCCUGAGCCACCGCUCCCAGCCAACACAUUGAUUUUUAGGAAAUACAGUUUAGUUCAAUAUAGUUUAUUGAACUAAAAGUAUGCAUGCUUUCACUAUAUCUUGAGAGAUUCAGGAAAGUUCUUGUUAAUAAUAAGGCCCAGCAUGGAACUAGGAUGUAUUUCACAUUUUUAUAAUCCAGGUGGAAGAGCAUAUGUAGGCUAAAGAAACAAAGAAAAAAACUGAUGAAAGAACAAUCAGGCCCAGCCAGGGUGAAGGUACCUUAAGGCAACAAGAGAGGGAAGAAGGGGCUUCAGAAAAGCAGAGAAGAAAAAAAACUUCAGAAAUAAGUGUUAGAGGCCCGUCACAGUGGCUCACGCUUGUAAUGCUAGCACUUUAGGAGGCCGAGGCAGGCAGAUCACUUGAGGUCAGGAGUUUGAGACCAGCCUGGCCAACAGGGUGAAACCCUGUCUCUACCAAAAAUACAAUAAUCUGCCGGGCAUGAUUGCGUGUGCCUGUAAUCCCAGCUAUUUGGGAGGCUGAGGUGGGAGGUUUAACCUGUAGACUAUGUUGGGGCUUAGAAUAUUUCAUUUGUGGUUUACAGGGGCUUGAGUGU